UACGUAGGGUGCAAGCGUUAAUCGGAAUUACUGGGCGUAAAGCGUGCGCAGGCGGUUUUGUAAGUCUGAUGUGAAAUCCCCGGGCUCAACCUGGGAAUUGCAUUGGAGACUGCAAGGCUAGAAUCUGGCAGAGGGGGGUAGAAUUCCACGUGUAGCAGUGAAAUGCGUAGAGAUGUGGAGGAACACCGAUGGCGAAGGCAGCCCCCUGGGUCCAAUACUGACGCUCAUGCACGAAAGGCGUGGGGAGCAAACAGG
rnacentral:rRNA from 1 species